UACGUAGGGGGCAAGCGUUGUCCGGAAUCAUUGGGCGUAAAGCGCACGUAGGCGGAUUGCUAAGUCAGGGGUGAAAUCCUGGAGCUCAACUCCAGAACUGCCUUUGAUACUGGCGACCUUGAGUCCGGGAGAGGUGAGUGGAACUGCGAGUGUAGAGGUGAAAUUCGUAGAUAUUCGCAAAGAACACCAGUGGCGAAGGCGGCUCACUGGCCCGGUACUGACGCUGAGGUGCGAAAGCGUGGGGAGCAAACAGG
rnacentral:rRNA from 1 species